rnacentral:rRNA from 1 species
GACGAACGCUGGCGGCGUGCUUAACACAUGCAAGUCGAACGAAGAGCGAUGGAAGCUUGCUUCUAUCAAUCUUAGUGGCGAACGGGUGAGUAACGCGUAAUCAACCUGCCCUUCAGAGGGGGACAACAGUUGGAAACGACUGCUAAUACCGCAUACGAUCUAACCUCGGCAUCGAGGAAAGAUGAAAGGUGGCCUCUAUGUAUAAGCUAUCACUGAAGGAGGGGAUUGCGUCUGAUUAGCUAGUUGGAGGGGUAACGGCCCACCAAGGCGAUGAUCAGUAGCCGGUCUGAGAGGAUGAACGGCCACAUUGGGACUGAGACACGGCCCAGACUCCUACGGGAGGCAGCAGUGGGGAAUCUUCCGCAAUGGACGAAAGUCUGACGGAGCAACGCCGCGUGAGUGAUGACGGCCUUCGGGUUGUAAAGCUCUGUUAAUCGGGACGAAAGGCCUUCUUGCGAACAUUUC